rnacentral:rRNA from 1 species
GAUGAACGCUGGCGGCGUGCCUAAUACAUGCAAGUCGAGCGAACAGACGAGGAGCUUGCUCCCCUAACGUUAGCGGCGGACGGGGGAGUAACACGUGGAUAACCUACCUAUAAGACUGGGAUACCUCCGGGAAACCGGAGCUAAUACCGGAUAAUAUAUUGAACCGCAUGGUUCAAUAGUGAAAGACGGUUUUGCUGUCCCUUAUAGAUGGAUCCGCGCCGCAUUAGCUAGUUGGUAAGGUAACGGCUUACCAAGGCAACGAUGCGUAGCCGACCUGAGAGGGUGAUCGGCCACACUGGAACUGAGACACGGUCCAGACUCCUACGGGAGGCAGCAGUAGGGAAUCUUCCGCAAUGGGCGAAAGCCUGACGGAGCAACGCCGCGUGAGUGAUGAAGGUCUUCGGAUCGUAAAACUCUGUUAUUAGGGAAGAACAAAUGUGUAAGUAACUAUGCACGUCUUGACGGUACCUAAUCAGAAAGCCACGGCUAACUACGUG